rnacentral:lncRNA from 1 species
CCAAGUUCGAUCAAAAUGGGUGACGAUGCAAACAAAAAUUAACACAUUCAACGGUCUAUAUCAUCAAGCGGUAAUUUUUUUAUACGGAUCGUUUACGUCCUAGCGGGAGUGACGACGCAUAUGUAAUGAAACAAGCGUUAAAGGAUUACAAAAGCAAAGAAAAUAUUGAGUUCGCUCAUGUUGCGGCUUGGGAGGUUGUUAGA